rnacentral:rRNA from 1 species
UACGUAGGUCCCGAGCGUUGUCCGGAUUUAUUGGGCGUAAAGCGAGCGCAGGCGGUUUGAUAAGUCUGAAGUUAAAGGCUGUGGCUCAACCAUAGUUCGCUUUGGAAACUGUCAAACUUGAGUGCAGAAGGGGAGAGUGGAAUUCCAUGUGUAGCGGUGAAAUGCGUAGAUAUAUGGAGGAACACCGGUGGCGAAAGCGGCUCUCUGGUCUGUAACUGACGCUGAGGCUCGAAAGCGUGGGGAGCGAACAGGAUUAGAUA